rnacentral:lncRNA from 1 species
GGAAAGUAUGAGAUACUUGUCCUAAAAAUCAGAUUGUUCAUGUGUUGAACAUAAAAUCUGAUUUGUGUAUGGUGAGAUCUUUUGAUGAAAGAUUUCUAAAGAAAUCUUAGUAGAGGUCAUAAAGGCAUACAAGUGGUAGUGCAACCAGUUCUUGCAAAGGACGGUCGGCAGCAAGCUUGCGAAGAAGGUUGCAGCACCAUGAUGAGUUGGAAAGGACCC